GUCACAUAGACUCAAGAAUUUGCACUCCAGAUUCCAGUGAGGUAGCCUCCCUCUUUCCAGUCACCAAUCAGACGGAACGAAGUCUGUUUAAGAGAUGAGCAAGCUUAUCUUGAAGACGCUAAGGAUGUUCUGGAAGCAGUUGGAAUAAGCAGCAGGAUAAACUUUACUGACUGGACACUGCUGCAUCUGAGAAAUCCUGUGACAUCCGACAAAAGCCGGCACAAAGUAGCAUUUAGUUAUCUAUACAAGCCAAUGCACAGUGGGGAAAGCCCUGAUGACAUCUCCUGCUUAUGCUGGCUCUGAGUGCUCACCACAGGAGGAAAAAGGGA